GAGCCUGGAAACGGGUGACGGCGUACCUUUUGUAUAAUGGGUCAGCGACUUACAUUCAGUGGCAAGCUUAACCGAAUAGGGAAGGCGUAGGGAAAGCGAGUCCGAAUAGGGCGUCAGUCGCUGGGUGUAGACCCGAAACCAAGUGAUCUAUCCAUGGCCAGGAUGAAGGUGCGGUAACACGCACUGGAGGUCCGAACCGACUAGUGUUGCAAAACUAGCGGAUGAGCUGUGGAUAGGGGUGAAAGGCUAAACAAACUUGGAAAUAGCUGGUUCUCUCCGAAAACUAUUUAGGUAGUGCCUCAAGUAUUACCGUCGGGGGUAGAGCACUGUUAUGGCUAGGGGGUCAUGGCGACUUACCAAACCAUUGCAAACUCCGAAUACCGAUGAGUACAGCUUGGGAGACAGUGCACCGGGUGCUAACGUCCGGACACAAGAGGGAAAC
rnacentral:rRNA from 1 species